GCCGGGGUGGCGAAAUGGUAGACGCGUACGGCUUAGGACCGUAUGGAGCAAUCCUUGGAGGUUCAAGUCCUCUCCCCGGCA
rnacentral:tRNA from 1 species